rnacentral:lncRNA from 1 species
AAGCAACAGGGCCAGAAUAGGCCCACAUGGUCAGACUCUCAGACUUACAACCUUACUCAAGUACAAUGAGUGUUCCAAUGAUCUGAGCAGAAGAAGUUGUCUUUGUAAGCAGAAAAUGGCUGAAGAAAGCAAAAAGAGAAAACAGAGCAGAUUAGUCAUUGAUGUGGUUUGGCUGUUUUGUCCCUCUAAAUCUCAUGUUGAAAUGUGACCUUCAGCGUUGGAGGUGGGUUUAGUGGGAGGUGUUUGGGUCAUAGAGGUGGAUCUCUCAUAAAUGGUUUGGUGCUGUCCUUGUGGUAAUGAGUGAGUUCUCUGUUAGGUACAAACCACCCCAAAGAGCUUCUUGGUACUGCCAACACUCCCCGCAAACCUCUCCGCGCUGCCCACCCUUCCCCCAAACCUUCUUACAUUUCCAAGCCCUUAUCUAGGCACCGCAGUGAAGCCAGCCUGAUAGAAGACUUUACCUAUCAGGCCUUGCUGCGAUAAAGCAAACCCCAAUUACAAACCAUCCGGACCAAACGGGGAGGUUGUGGGAAGCAUAAACAAACUUUACCUACACCCUCCAGUACCGUAAACAUCACAAGGUGAUAUGUGGCAGAAUUAACCAGCAGACAACCCCGGGAUGCAGCCAUACCAAAGGACUCCCUCAAACUCCCUGCCCCAAUGUAAACCCCCUAUUCUGUAAGCUUGGGGCUGCUUUCCUUGACUGUUAAGGGGGCAGCCGACAGGUUAAUAAAGGCUUGCCUGAACUUGGGGCUCUCUCUCUCUGGUCCUUUCUCUCGGCUAACCUUACAUUCUCACUCUCUAAGUUCACAUGAGAUCUGGUUGCUUUAAAAAGCCUGGCAGCUCUUUGUUCUCUCUCGCCAUGUGAUAUGCUGAUUACCCUUUUGCCUUCUGCCAUGACUGCAAGCUUCCUGAGCCCUUACCAGAAGCAGAUGCCAGUGCCAUGCCUCCUGUACGCCCUGCAGAAGCAUGAGCCAAAAUAAACAUUUUUCUUUAUAAAUUACCUAGCCUCAGGUAUUCCUUUAUAGCAAUGCAAAACUGACUAACAUAUAAAAUUGGUACAGGAGUUGGGUGAUGCUAUACAGAUAUCUGAAGAUGUGAAAGCAGCUUUGGAUCUGGGUAAUGGGCAGAGAUAUCAGAAGAUAUCAGAAGAAGACAGGAAGAUGCAGGAAUGUUUCAAACUUAUUGGAGAUUUGUUAAGUGGUUUUGACCAAAUUGCUGACAGAAAUAUGGACAAUGAAGGCCAGGCUGAUGAGGUCUCAGAUGGAAAUGAGGAAUUUACUGGCAAAGGUCACCCUUGUUAUAUCUUAGCAAAGAACUUGGCUGCACUG